rnacentral:lncRNA from 1 species
UAGGAUUUGGUUUGGAAUUUAGGGUUUAGAUUAGGAUUUGAUUUAGGAUUUCGGAUUUUUUUAGGGUUUGAUUUAGGAUUUAGGAUUUGGAUUAGGGUUGGAAUUAGGAUUUAAGAUUUGAAUUAGGAUUUGAUUAGAAUUUGAUUUAGGAUUUAGGAUUUAGUUUAGGGUUUAGGGUUUGAUUAGGAUUAGGAUUUGGUUAGGAUUUAGAGUUAGGAUUGAAUAAGAUUUGACUAGGAUUUUUUUAGGAUUUGGAAUUGAUUAGGAUUUAUUAGGGUUAGGAUUUGUCUAAGAUUUGACUAGGAUAUGUUUAGGAUUUAGGAUUUGUCUAGGAUUUGAUUAAGGUUGGAUUAGAAUUAGGAUUUGGUUAGAAUUUAAGGUUUAUUUAGAUUUUUGUUAGGGUUUGACUAAGUUUUCUUUAAUAUGAUUUUAUAUUUUUUUAGGAUUUCAUUUCAUUUCUUUUAUAACUUCAAUAAAAUUUAAUUGAGCUUGUUUAAUAUUUGAUUAUGAUUGUUAAUAUUUAAUUAUAA